UGUAUAAUGGGUCAGCGACUUAUAUUCUGUAGCAAGGUUAACCGUAUAGGGGAGCCGAAGGGAAACCGAGUCUUAACUGGGCGUUAAGUUGCAGGGUAUAGACCCGAAACCCGGUGAUCUAGCCAUGGGCAGGUUGAAGGUUGGGUAACACUAACUGGAGGACCGAACCGACUAAUGUUGAAAAAUUAGCGGAUGACUUGUGGCUGGGGGUGAAAGGCCAAUCAAACCGGGAGAUAGCUGGUUCUCCCCGAAAGCUAUUUAGGUAGCGCCUCGUGAACUCAUCUUCGGGGGUAGAGCACUGUUUCGGCUAGGGGGUCAUCCCGACUUACCAACCCGAUGCAAACUGCGAAUACCGAAGAAUGUUAUCACGGGAGACACACGGCGGGUGCUAACGUCCGUCGUGAAGAGGGAAACAACCCAGACCGCCAGCUAAGGUCCCAAAGUCACAGUUAAGUGGGAAACGAUGUGGGAAGGCUCAGACAGCCAGGAUGUUGGCUUAGAAGCAGCCAUCAUUUAAAGAAAGCGUAAUAGCUCACUGGUCGAGUCGGCCUGCGCGGAAGAUGUAACGGGGCUAAACUGUGCACCGAAGCUGCGGCAGCGACGCUUAUGCGUUGUUGGGUAGGGGAGCGUUCUGUAAGCCUGCGAAGGUGUCCUGUGAGGGAUGCUGGAGGUAUCAGAAGUGCGAAUGCUGACAUAAGUAACGAUAAUGCGGGUGAAAAGCCCGCUCGCCGGAAGACCAAGGGUUCCUGUCCAACGUUAAUCGGGGCAGGGUGAGUCGACCCCUAAGGCGAGGCCGAAAGGCGUAGUCGAUGGGAAACGGGUUAAUAUUCCCGUACUUGGUGUUACUGCGAAGGGGGGACGGAGAAGGCUAUGUUGGCCGGGCGACGGUUGUCCCGGUUUAAGCGUGUAGGCUGGUUUUCCAGGCAAAUCCGGAAAAUCAAG
rnacentral:rRNA from 1 species